CCUACGGGCGGCAGCAGUGAGGAAUAUUGGUCAAUGGGCGGGAGCCUGAACCAGCCAAGUCGCGUGAAGGAUGACGGCACUUAGUGUUGUAAACUUCUUUUGUCGGGGAACAAAGGGGGAGACGCGUCUCCGUAUGAGUGUAACCGAAGAAAAAGCAUCGGCUAAAUCCGUGCCAGCCGCCGCGGUAAUAAGGAGGGUGCGGGCGGUAUCCGGAUUUAUUGGGGUUAAAGGGGUCGGAGGCGGGAGAUCAAGGCAGCGGUAAAAAGUCGGGGCUCAACCCCGGCCGGCCGUUGAAACUGGUGUUCUAGAGUGGGAGAGAAGUAUGCGGAAUGCGUGGUGUAGCGGUGAAAUGCAUAGAUAUCACGAAGAACUCCGAUUGCGAAGGCAGCAUACCGGCGCCAUACUGACGCUGAGGCACGAAAGCGUGGGGAUCGAACAGGAUUAGAUACCCUAGUAGUC
rnacentral:rRNA from 1 species